AUUUAAAAUCCCAAUGAAGUAUCAGGAUUGGUUAUAGUGAUUAGAAUGUCAGCAUAUAAACUUAAUUUCUGUUCUACAUCUAAUAUUUUAUAGCCAUUAAUCUUUUUGUUACUUCUAAUUUUCUCAGCUAGUGGUUCAAUAGAGAGCAAAUACAAUAGUGGUGAAAGCGGACACCCCAGUCAUGUCCCAUUUUUCAUUUGGAACCAUGGGGCAGUGAUGUUUGGUCCUUUAGUGCAUGCCAAUGGAUUUACAUAAAGGGCCAUAAUGGCUUUCUUAAUCCAGUCGUCAAGGCCGUAAUGUGACAGUGCAACAUCUGGAUAACUCCAGUUGACUCUGUCAAAUGCUUUUUCAGCAUCAAUCGACAGAGCCAAAACUGG